rnacentral:rRNA from 1 species
CCUACGGGGCGCAGCAGUGGGGAAUAUUGGACAAUGGGCGAAAGCCUGAUCCAGCCAUGCCGCGUGUGUGAAGAAGGCCUUCGGGUUGUAAAGCACUUUCAGUGGGGAAGAAAGCCUUGGGGCUAAUACCCUCGAGGAAGGACAUCACCCACAGAAGAAGCACCGGCUAACUCCGUGCCAGCAGCCGCGGUAAUACGGAGGGUGCGAGCGUUAAUCGGAAUUACUGGGCGUAAAGCGCGCGUAGGCGGUCUGAUAAGCCGGUUGUGAAAGCCCCGGGCUCAACCUGGGAACGGCAUCCGGAACUGUCAGGCUAGAGUGCAGGAGAGGAAGGUAGAAUUCCCUGUGUAGCGGUGAAAUGCGUAGAGAUCGGGAGGAAUACCAGUGGCGAAGGCGGCCUUCUGGACUGACACUGACGCUGAGGUGCGAAAGCGUGGGUAGCAAACAGGAUUAGAUACCCGAGUAGUC